rnacentral:lncRNA from 1 species
AAGGCUACAGACAAUGAAGUAUAAAGACAGUUUCAAAGCAAAGUACAAGCUACUCAAUCCCAGGUUUAUAUUCCAACAUCUAAUCAAACAUCAGCUACCCGUACAUGUCAGGUUCUCAUAGUGCUUUUAGAAUCAAGUUUGCACCAUGUUGAGGUUGAACAGUUAGGACUGUGUAAGGAGCGUGAAUAUAGGAUGGGGAAAGCACAAAAGAAAAGCGUUGUAAGAUCAACGAUAGUGCCAUUUUAGCUUCCAGCAUUGCAAAAUUCUGUCCAAUGCAAAUCCGGGGUCCUAAGCCAAAUGGAAAAUAUACUCCUUUUCCCUUUGUUGCUUUUGACACGCCCUCAGAAAAUCUAUCCGGAUUGAAUUCCUUAGCAUCAGCACCCCAUAUAUCUAUGUCAUGAUGCAUUAGGAUGAUAGGUAGCUGCACUGUAACUCCAGCCGGUAGAAAUAUCUCUCCUAAUUUGACAUCUUGAUAUACAGCACGAUUUAGGAAAACUGCGGGUGGGUAUAAUCUUAGACUCUCAAGCAAAAUCAUAUUAACCUGCAGAACAAAGACAUAUAAAGCACUAGUCCGACAUGUACCUUUGUCAAUAUACAAAUUAUUGACCCUUUUCUGCUAUCAUAUUAUACAUCAUAAUAUUUGAUAAACACUGAAAAAAGUUCAUACUUGCAAGUUGACAACUUUGUUAAAUACGUUACCAAGUGCUUAUAAUAAAACUUACAAGUUUGAGGUGAUUCAUUCCAUCAAGAUCUGGUUUAUCCUUUCCAAAGACCUGAAAAACCUCUUCUCUGGCGCGCUCUUGCCAAUCUGAAUGUUGACUCAAUAGAACCAUAGCCCAGGUAAGUAGAUUUGAGGUUGUCUCUUGUCCAGCAUAAUAGAAUAACUUACACUCUUCGAUAACCUCAUCCACAGACAUUCCACAUUUCAUAUUUUUGUUUUCUUUGAUUUCUUCAGAAUUUGAUUUCAAUAAUAAACCCAACAAAUUGUCAUGAAUAUACUCUUCUACUUUCAUUGCCAGCAACCGCUUGUUAAUCAUAGACCUCAGUGCAGAUCUCACCUCACUCUCAAUCUGCCUCAUCCUUUUCAUUCUUUUGGUUGGCAAAAAUCUACAUUUAAAAGAUUCUAAUAAAUAUCAACCCUAGUAGAUGAAACACCAGAAGAUUUUAUACAACUUGCAAAAACAGAGAUGAGGAAUAAAAACCUCAUUCCUGGGAGGUACAAUGUUUGUACAUCUUGCAUGAGCAGCCCUCCUUGUUCUUUCAGUAGUUGAAAUAUUUGUCUCCCUUCUGCAUAGCUACUCCCAAAGGCUGUCCGUGAGAUGACAUCAGCUGUUAGAGUUCCCAAAUCAGGCCAUACAUCCACCUCGCAUUGCCCCUCAGUGGAAACCAUCGCCUCCCAUUUGCUCAUGAUCUCAAUACAACUUAAAUACAUGGCUGGCAGCAUAUCCUGUUUAUAUACAUCAUAAAAAAGAAAGACAAUGGUUGUUGAUACAAUAGAACAAAUACUGAUGACAAAAUAUCUUCCUGCUUGGCACUUACUAUCAUUCAGAUAGUACUGAUAAAAAUGACACUAUAAUUAGGUUUUAUAUCAUGGAGCAACGGAUCAAAAAUUCUUUUACUUGAAUUAAGUUAUGUAAUUGCAUCUAUACUAAAGAAAGUCACCUGGAGCAAAGACCUAAAUAUAUCAUCAACAUAUUUCUACUAACAAAAACAAAUCAACUUAACGUUUAAAAACAGCAUCUACAACUUCGAGCCAAGAUAGCUACAGGCAUGACCUUUGACUUGUCAAGAUGGAAAGCAGGAUUCAUAAUUUUCCGGUGUUCGGCCCAUGUCUCACCCUCAGCACUCACAAGUCCACAUGCGAGCAACUUGAAUAAAGGAUUACCUCCCCUGGUUUUCUGGAAGAUAGAGGUCUUAUUUAAGGCCUCUUUUAUAAGAUCAGGGUCCGUGAUGUAGACCUCUGGUCGCGGCCCUAGCCACAGAAAUGACUUCUUGCCUGCAACAAAGUAUAAAGCACAUGCUUUUGUAGUAAACAACUUUGUAAGGGUAGAGUUUACUAUUUAUGGAAAAUUAAGAUGAAAAAAUCACACAUGCUUUGCUGGGACUCAAGCAAGGGUUCCUACUGAAAACUCAAGCAUAGAAACCUUCUUGAUUAACAAUAAGAAAUCUUUUGCUAAUUCCCUGAUGAAACAUUCUUAAAGAAAGAAUUUGUGUUUAACAACUUUAAAGAGUGAGAGCAAAAAUACCUGGAGAAAUAAAUCACCUUUUCUUAAAUCACCUUUUCUUAAUGCUCUCAAGACCUAGUAGUACAGUAGAUGGGCUAAUUUCCAAUUACUAAUCACAUGACGCCUCGGAACUGGUAUGGGUUUGAGGUAUCAAUAUCUGAUAUCAUGAGUUUGGCUGAGUGCUCGAAUCAAUAUAUACAAUUUUUAUAAAAAAAUAAGUUAUUAAUAUAUAUUAAUUAAAAAUAUUAAUAAAAUUAUUAUUGUCAUAUAUUAUUGCAUCAUUAAUUUAAUUUUAUAUCAAACAUUAAUAUUUCAUUACUUAAAUAGAGAUAAAAAAUAAAAAAUAAAUGCAUCUCAUACCUUCAUCUCAUACCCACCUCUCUCCUUGGUAUCAAAAACUCAUAUCUUGGAAGUUUAAGGUAUGUGUUUCAGAAUUUGUUUUUCCCAACCAAACAUUAGGUAUGAGUUUGGAAUAGACAAAUUUUAUAAAACCCACGAACCAAACACCCAGAUUUUAUAUCUGUAUAUAAGUUUGUCCAUUUAAGCUUGACAAGGAUAAAUUACCUUUCUCUUGAACCUAAAUGUGUUACGGAAAGGUUUACCAAUAUUAUAUUAUAUAUUCACAUAUAUGCACUUGAAAACACGUACCGUGUUUACUAAUAGCAGUAAAUAUAGCAGGAGUAACGCGAGGUAUAAUAUCGUCAGACAAACUGAUGGGCUUGGACCUGGCCUCUUUUCCAGCGGCAGCGACUUCUUUAACGUCCCCAUACAAAAGCCUGUAAGGGUUUCCUUUGAAGCCCUGAUUCCUCAGAAUCUUUUCCAGCCUCUUGGGCCUGAUCCAAAUCCAGUUGAGUAGUUUCCAGGCUGUCACCACCACGUAUCCCAAAGCCAAGCUUACUAUAAGCUUGAAGUAUAUAUCUAACUCCAUGACUGUGUGUAUGAGUGUGUGUAAAAGAAAGAAGGUGAAAGAAGAUACUAGUGUCAGUGGUUGAUGAUUUAGAGUGAGGACGAACGGACGAUGAUAUUUAUAUCUGUUUUCCUGGUGAGAAUGUCAAAAGAGUUGGGCGAAAUUUGGAGUUUAAAUAAGAGUUGCAUGCAUAGUGUGUAUAUAAAGUAUACACCAAGCUGGCCAAACGGGCGGGCCGGGACGGUUCGGGCCGGUUCAUGCGGUUUCCGGACCGUCGCCGGUGAAACCGUAACCGGCACGCCAAGAUUGGCGGUCUGGGCCGGUCCUAGCUGGGCUGGAGAAAAUCAAAACCAUAACCGUAUAACACGGUUUAUACGGGUUAGACGGGUUAUACGGUUCGGGCCGGUUCAACGGUUCACGGUUCGAAUUCGACGGUUCCUUAAGUUCACUGAGGACCAGUUGAGCAAACUUUUAUAAAUUAAAUUAAAUUUUACCUUUUUUUAAGUUUCAAUUUCAUUUUAAAAUGUAAACUUUUAUGUUUUCAUAUAAAACAAAAAAUAAAAUAUAAAUAUCGAGUGUAUUAAAAUAGACACUUUUUAUUAAAAUAUAAACUUUUUAUUUUGUUUAAUAUAUAAACUUCUAUAUUUUUCUAAUAUAAUAUAAUGGAAAAGAGAGAAUCUUAAUAUUAAUUUAAUUAAAAAUUUGAAAAUAAUUUUAUGAUAGUUGACAUUUAGUUUAAAAUUAAAAAAUAAAAAAUAUAAUAUCAAAUAUAUUAAAAUAUAAACUUUUUUAUUUCGUUUUAAAAUAUAAAGACGAAUAAAACGGAAAGAAACCGUGAACCGCGAACCGCGGUUCCACGGUUCAAUCACGGUUCACCGUGCCAAGAUUGGACAGACUGUCAAACGAAAUAAUAAAAAAAUACACCCUGCUUCAUUCUUUCAUAGAAUUGGAAGUAGCGAAACACGGGCCGGUUCCGCGGUUCCGCGGUUCAAGCGGUUCCAGCGGUUCCGCGGUCCGGUUCCGCCCUGCUAAAUAUUUUUUUAUCACAAAAUUAAAAAUAUCUUAUUUAAUAGUAUAUAAUAUAAUAUAUAAUUAUUAUAUCUAAAUCAGUUUUAAUAUAACAAAAGUGAAAAAUUUCUUAUUUUAUAGUAUAUAAUAUAACAUAAAAUUAUUAUAUCAAAAUCAGUUUAAUAUAACUUAUAAAAUUAUUAAGUGGUGAUGAUUUAUAAGAUUUUAAAAUAUAAGUUAGUAGAGUGGUUAAUAAUUUAAUUAUAAAAUGACAUUUUUAAAUAAAAUUUAAUUUAUGUAAAUAUAAACUUAAUAUUUAAAAUUUAAAUCAAGCUAAUUUAUUUAAAUAUAAAUUUGAUACAGAUUACGGUAUAGAAUUCCACGGUUAAACCGCGGUUUUGCGGUUCGCGGUUCAAACCGCGGUUAAACGGUUCCAGCCUGUGCGGUUCAAGCGGGUUAAAGCGGUUUCGGGCCGGUUACGGUUCGGUUUCUCGAUUCUACACCCGUGUUCGGCCCGUACUCAGUUUCGGUUCAUGCGGUUUUCGAACCGGCCCGUGUUUAUACGGUUUCGGGCGGUUAAAAACACGGUUCGGGGCGUGCCGGUUCGAACGGUUCGGCCCGUUUGGCCGGCUUUCACCAUGCAUGUUGUGUAUCUGAAUUUUUAAUUAAACACAUUGUUUGUACUUUAAAUAUUUAAGUGUGAGCAAUACGUGCGUUAGUUUUUAGUUAACAGACUUCUGUUAACUGCUUACAUUGUCUCCCUGUUGUACAGUGAGCCUGUCCGGGCCAUAUUAAAAAAAAUGAUUACUAAUCCAAAAUAAAGUAAAAAAAAUGGAUCAAAAUGACUAAAAAGUUACUCCCUCUGUUUGGAUAUAUUAGUCUCUUGACUUUUUUGCACACACUUUUAAGAGCAUUGACCGCACAUGUAAAAUUAUUAUUUUUAAAAUUUUCUUUUUAUGAAUAAAAGUAUUAGUGAUAUAUUUUAAUUCACAAAAAGAAAUUUUUAAAAAUAAUAAUUUUACAUGUGCGGUCAAUGCUCUUAAAAGUGUGUGCAAAAAAGUCAAACGACUAUUAUAUCCAAACAGAGGGUGUAUAUUGUAAGUGCUCCUACUUGUCUAUGAAACAAAAGCAGAACGGAAACAAACAGCCCCACAGUAUACUGCUUUUCCUUUCUUUGACCCACUUGAUAGCAUCUUUAAUAGGCUCUUAAAUAGACUCCUAACUCAAGAUAUAAAGAAGAUGUUCAAAAAUUGAGCUCCAAGAGCCUCCUAGAGGCUUUAAAAAUCUUAAGAGCCUCUUCUCUCUCCUUUAAUUUAAGAGUUACUAGUUGGCUCUUAACUUUAUAAAAUAAUCAUUUCCUUCCAUUCUUACAUUAGACUCCCACUACAUAACAAAUGUUUGAAUUCAAAAUAUAAAUAAAAUAUAAAUUAAGAGCAUAUAUAAAGAACAUUGUUGGAGUUGACACUUUUAAUUUUAUAUUAACUUACUAGGAGUAUUUUAUAUUAUAUAAAGGAGCCAAAACUUGGAGAUGCUCGAGCGAAGUUAUUCUGAGGUUAAAAAUUUUUACUCCCUCCGUCCCCUUUUACAUGUUCCCAUUUGACUUUUGACCAGUCAAAUUAACCAAAUUUUGACUAAACAUUACAAAUUAUCUUUUCAUUAUUUUUGAAAACUGAAAGUUGCAUAUUAAAAUACACUAAAUAUACUUUCUAAUGAUAUAAUUUUUAUUAUUUUUUGAAUUAUAUGAUAUAUAUAAAAUUUCAGUCAAAAUAUAAUCAAUUUGACUGGUCAAAAGUCAAACGGGGACAUGUAAAAAGGGACUGAGGGAGUAUAACCAGCCCAUGUGUUCAUUGACAAUGCCAAUUGCCAAGUGGAGUGAAGUUGUGUCUGGGACGGGGAGUGCACUGAAUGAAAGAUGAAAAAGAGAAAGUAAAGAAAGUUAAUGAAGGUUAGGAAAAACAAACGGUAGCCCACACAUUACAAAUAUUUGUAUAUUUAAAGUACAUAAUUUGUUCUAUCAGGAGCUGAGGUACACAAAAUGUAUAACAUGACUAUUUUAGAUAUUUAGCUUUUUAAAUAAUUAGGGAGUAUAUUGAAAUAGGAGUUUGAUUAAUUAUAUAAUUAGAUUCUAAAAAAAUUGUAUCUGAUUUGAUUUUAGGUGGAUUCAAAUAAAAUAUGUAGUAUGUGGUAUGAUUGAUAUAAAAUGUUUGGAAUUUAAAUCUAGUAAUUUCAAAAUCUCAUUAAUUUUAAUAGGAUUUUGUCAAAUUUAAACUAUAUUGAACAAUCCCAUAAAAUUUAUUUUCUUUGUCUCCUUUAAUUGCAUAUAAUCUUUUUCCAAUAUUUUAUACAUAUUUUAAGGUGAUAUAAUUCCACUUUCAUAAUUUAUUUUUAACAUUUUUUUAAAAUUUAAAUAUUGAAUUUUGUUUUUAAAAAAAUAAAAAAAAAAUUAUAGACUGUAAUUUAACGGAGCAUUAAAAUGCACGCCGAGACCAUUCCCAAAGUAUACAACCUUAACCUUUUGGAACGGGGAGAGCAUUAUUAUGAAGUUAAAAAAAAAAAUAUCAAAUAAUACAUCACUAUUCGAUUAUCUUCGUACUUUACUAAAUAUUAAAUUAAAUAAUCUCAAUGAAUAUCAUCAAAAUUUUUAAAUAUUUUAAUAUAUUAAAAAUAUUAUUAAAUUUUACAAUAUAAUUUGAUAUCUAUAUAAAUAUUUUGAAAUACUGAUUUUUUUUAAAACCUGCAUUAAAUAUAACUGAAUUUCAUAAAAAAAAAAAAAAUUGAUGCUCUGAUUGAAUACGCCCCUAACGGCUAACAAACCGAUGAGGCGAUGAGUCGAUGACAUCUGGCGGAAAAUUUAUACAGAAACAGGUGAAGUGUCUCGAUGGGGGGGACCGAACUAAACACGUGGGUGUAUAUUAUUUUGAAUUUUGUGCUUUGAGGUUAAUGUUACUUAGGGUUAAAAAUGGGGCGGGUUGGGGGCGGGGACUUCAUUUCCCAGCCCCGCCCCACAUAAUUUUUUCCUGCCUCAUCCCCGCCCCAUUCCCCGCGGGGAUUUAUUUUUAAUCCCCAUCCCCGCCCCACCGGGGACUUAAUAUAAUUUCGCCCCGCCCCGCCCCGCUUCUAUAAUAUUACACCUUUAAAUAAUUAUUUUAAAAUUAAUUAAUUUUUUCUUCAGAAUUUAAUAAAAAUAUAGGAGACAUGUAUAUUAAAAGCAAAAAACUAAUUAUAAUAGAAAUCAAAGAGACAUGUUAUACAUUGUAAAAUUAUAGUUUUGUGUAUUAAAAAUAAUAAUAUUAAAUAUAAUAAAUAUAUUAUAUUAAAUAUAAUAAAAAUAUUAUAUUAAAUAUAAUUAUUUAUUUAUAUUAAAUAUAUGUGGGGCAGGGCGGGGAAUCCCCGCGGGGAUUCAACAAAUACCAUACUUGCCCCAUAUUUUGGCGGGGCAGAAAAUCAUUCCCCGUCACUGCCCCAUUCCCCAUAUUAGCGGGGCGGAUCUGCCCCAUUCGGGGCGGGUUAGGGCGGGUUCCCCAUUUUCCCCACCCCAUUUUUAACCCUAAUGUUACUCCCUCCUUCCCAUUUUAAUAGUCCACUUUGCAAAGAAAAAAUUUUCCAUAUUAUUUGUCCUACUUCUUUGUCCAAUACAAUUUUAUACAAGUUUCAAUGUUAACAUUUAUUAGCAUGUACAAUUUUCAUGAUUUACAAUGCAAACUAUGUUGACUUUUAACAAAAUGAAUGAAAAUUUAGUACUCCCUCCGUCCCUAUUUAUCUGUCCACUUUGGAAGUAAAAAUUUGUCCCUAUUUAUCUGUCCAUUUAUACUUUCAAAACUAAUUUAAUGAUAGUUUUUCAAAUAUAUCUCCAUAAUUUCAAUUUUCAAGGCUUGACUUAUUUAAAACUUGAUUGAAUUCAUGUUUUCAAGACACUAGGGAAUUAUGCCCGCGCUUCGCGAGCUCCCACUAAAAUUGUUUAAAAUAAAUAAAAUCAAGCAUUUCAAAUAUGUUUUAAAAAUAUGUGAAUUAAUAAUAUUAAUACCAGCAACUGCGAAAGGAUGACCAUGAAUACUUCCCUUGUUACGAAGAAUUCACAUAUAUUUGUAGUGAUCCGAAAAAAUAAAUAUAUUUAUCUAUUCGAACUAUUGAUCCAAAAAUCCGAAAAAAUAAAUAUAUUUAUCUAUUCGAACUAUUGAUCCAAAAUUUUUUUAAAAAAAUAAAUAGAUGGCUGUAAGACCAGUAAAUAAAGCUGUGAGAUAUAUUUUUUACGAUCAUCGUUAUAAAAAAAAUGUUUACUUAUAAGGAACAAACUAUUAGAAUUAUGUUUUUUCUCAAUAUUACAAUUUAAUCUAAUACGCUGACAAAUUAUAUUUUUUGGAUUUGGUACACAUUGACUACAUGUAUAGCUCACUAAAACAUAUUAAUUUGGAAGUCAACUCUUCUUUACACACGUCAGUGGUAUUGAACUCAAAUUUUAAAAUGUAAGGAUGUAUCUGAUAAAUUAGAGGAUCUCGGAUGCCUGAUUAACACUUUCAUUCUAAAUUCUUGACAAUCUGUACACUUUAUGGAAACUCCGGAUUUUGAUCCAUUGUUGUCAUGAAUAAGAAUGACAUUAGAAUCAUGAAAACAUGUGAAUAACACAUGCAUAAAAAUCAAAUUACAAAUAGCCAGUUACAAAAUCAGAAGUAAUGAAAUUAUUCAUUUCACUUCGAACAAAUCAUAUUUCAGGAUAAUAACAGCUUCUUUGUAGUACAACUAUAUAAAUUCUGAAGAGAAACCGUCAAAGGAUGCACCACAUCUCCUCUCCUUUGUUUUCGUACCCUGACCCGAUCCUGAUCCUGCUACCAUCACCUAAUACUGGACAUAUCACUUAUACUGAUAAAGUGGAAGGGUUAUUUUCUUCACAUCAUUUGAUCCAUACAACAGGGCAUUUAUUUUCAUGAUACCUGGGUGUAGAUAUAAAAUGUUAACACCUUUUGCAGAAUAUAGUCACAACGAUAAUUUUUGCAAAACAACAAACAAUAAUUUGAGAUUUAGUUUUAAUUUUCACUACAUGGCAAUAUAUAAGACUGCAAAAUUAAAGUUGUAUUAGUAAUACAUUAAGACUGCAGCCUGCGAAAAUUUAGAUGCAAAUUCAAGCACAAUUAAUACAGACACAUACCUCUCCCACGUGCUGAGCAUCACCAAGCAUGCAAACCUUCAUAUUAGGUCUGGGGAUGUGUGGCAAUUUAACAGAACCACUUUUAAAACUUUAAUACAAACUUAAUUUUUAUAUUUGUUUUCUGAUUAUACAAAUGAGCGCCAAUGUCCACUAUAUAUUCAGCUCUAUUAUGUUUCAUGUUCUGGUUUAUCUAUUUCUUCUGUAAGAGUGAGGCGAAGACAUAGUAUUUGGUUAUAUACCUGCUGUUAUUGCUACCAUUUCAGUUGAACAUGCAUAGUGCCUUUAAUCCUUGUCAACAGUUUUCCUAAGAUUAUUACUUCAAUUACUUCCUACCAAUUAGUUAUUAAUUACUGGGAAACGCAGAAAUUUUCGACAUAACAAAUGAAAACCCAUGUUGGGGGAACAUACUGAGUUGAACCACAAACCAUGAACAUGAAAUUUUACAAAGCGUCUAAACGAUACAUAAACUAUUAUUUUCAUCAGAACGCCCAAUUACUGAUGUACAUAACUUUGAGUCCAUACAAAUUAAUACAAUAUAGUUUAGAUAAAGAAGGAACAAAUUUUUUGUAUCAUAAUGUUUGAUCAGUAAGGGGUACCUGCAAAAUUUUCUUAAAGGAAAUCAAGGGGAGACCCAAAUAUUUUUAAAAUAACUGAACCAACUCCUGAUGCAAUGCCGCUGAUGAGACUUUCUAAUACCACCGAAAUCCCUCCCUCCCCCCCUCCCUCGCUCUCUCUCUCUCCCUCUCUCUCCCUCCCUGUCUCUCUCUCUCUUUCUCUACCUCUCCCUCUCUUCCCCCCCUCUCUCUGGCGUUGUUGUUUUUUAGUAAUUAUAUUUGAGAAUCAAUGCAAACGCCAUCCAUGUGUACGCGGUAAAAUUGAGUAAAACCGUGUGAGAUCAUAUGCGGACAACCUCCUGUGUGUGAAUGACAUGUUAGAAGACUUAGAAGAUGAAUUUAUAGAGAAAGAGAGGAGGGUGUGAUAAUCGAAUGAAAGAGACAGAGGGUUUGAAGCCUUUUUCUAACCAUUUCGUAACUGCCAAGAUUUAUGAUGUCAAAAAGCUGACACAGUAAAGCAUGGAAAGAGAGGGAUACGCAUGAAUCCUAUACUUACUGAUAAAAAAAAUAGGAUUCAUUAUGCAACACUGUGACUUUUGUUUAACCAAGUGUAUAUAGUAUAUAUAGACAUUAGUUUCUCGACACUAAUAUAUAAUAGGAGUACUUACUAUUAAAAUUCCUUUUAUAUUCAUCCACCAUAGAAAAAAGAUUAGUUAAACAUCACUGUGAGUGUGGUAUGUGAGCCAGGUUAAGGGGAGAGGGGAGAAAACUUACAUCCUAAGGCUUCAUAGGAUCUACUGCAUACUUCGUGUUAGGAUCUGCUUUUGAGGGAGAUUCAGGCUUUCCACCAGUCUUCUUUUAUCUCUGGCGAACCAACUGACAGGUAACCCUUCCAACCAUUGUUGUUUCAUCUCCUUCUUGGAAGCCUAAGUACAAAAAAUAAGUUAUAACAAUAGAAAUAACAGAAAAAUUGAAUCAUGCAGUAACUUAUAUUGGUUAACUAAUAAUAUAUGAUCUAUUGUUUCCAAGGAUCUAAGGACCCUGGUUACAUGAAUUUACAUAAAGCAUUAAUGUAUUUAAUUUGCAAGCAUAAAUAUAAGAUUAAAUUGUCAUUCCAAUCUUAUAAUAUAACAAAUAUAAAGAUGAUAAGAUAAUGAUAAGAAUAAGAUACCUUGUCCAGAUAACUUGAUUUCUUUAUCGUCAUGCAUUGAACCUGUGCAGGAAUUGAUAUCUGAGAUAGGUAAAUACAUAUCAGCAAAUUAGAAGUCAUGGAAACGGACACUUUGGUAAACAUUUACCUGAUGGAUUUGAGAUGCUCUCCAAUAUUUGCAGCUCUUUAAAAGGAGCACCGCAGCAUCUGCAAUGACAAAUUUUUAUAGUAAUUUCCAUGCCUUUAUUUACCUAUGAAUUGAGAUGAUGAUGUAAAGGAAAAUAAUUAAAACAUUGAUUUUAAUUUUCCCUUUUAGACAAACCUGACAUUUCCAUGUGAAGAUGUUGUCAGUUUUAAGUGUAAAUUCAUUGGGCAUAUUUCAUGAAUGUAGCCUGACCAUUCACCAUGACAAUGGCGUGUUUUAAGUUUUAGUUUUUACAUAGUGUGAUAGUGCAAUGAGUGACACUAUAACUUCUAAGGUAGCAGUUCUCUUGUGGAAUAUCCGUAUGUCAAAAUAGUUCUUGAAUGUGAACUUUUUCCUUAUGAAGUCUGCCUGUGGGAGUCAGUCUGCGCAAUAUAAUAGAUAAGCCAUCAAAUUAUUUCUUAACAGGCUAGGAUGAAGCAGUAAAAGCAUUGCGCUCAGAACAAAAUUUAUUUCUGCACUUUCCUGACAUGGCCUUAGCAUUUAGCAUCCAAUUAUACACGUCUGCAUGCAUGUCAUUUGUUCAUUGUUGCAUCACUUCAUCGACUUCUUACAUCAGAAGGUAAUCUAUUUGCAGAUACUUAUAUCAAAUGUAUGAUAAGCAGUAGUCACACAAUGACAUGUACUGUUUAACAAACCCAAAAGUUUUGAGCCCAGAAGGGUUAGUUUAGAUAUUGCCUACUUAGUGUAUCCAAUCUUAAAACAAUUAUCAUAUUUUUUCUAAUUACCAAUUAAAGAUGAAUGAUUUUUUAUUAUUUUUAUUUUUAUUUAUGAUUCAUAUUCUUAUUCUUCUUCUUAUUAUUAUUAUUACUAUAUCCUAUAUCCUCAACAAUAAUAUAUAUAUAUAUAUAUAUAUAUAUAUAUAUGUAUGUAUAUGUAUGUAUUUAAUUAUUUCUUAGUGUUAUAAUUCUUUAUUAUUAUUAUAUUAAUAUUAAUAUAACAUUAAUCAUUAAUCAUUAAUAUAUUAAUAAAUCUUAAAAAUAUAUCAUAUAUUUAUAUCAUAGUUUAAAAUAUAUCUUAUUUGUGGUUCUGAUGCCGAGUACUAACAUUGACAGUCAAAAUAUAGAUCCACAUAGUUGAUCAAGUCGUACAUUUUCUUGCGUGCAUUUUAUAUUGAGUGAUACAUAAUGACAGUGCUUGUAUAUAUUCCAAACUUUGUAGAAGUAUUGAGAAAAUAUGCACCUUCAUCACACAACGGCUGAUCAAAAUUAGAAGGCUCAUCUGCUUCGUUAAAUGUCUGAAUCAAAAUUUUAACCCCGGAAGUAGAGCCAUGGUGAAAAUUGUCCGAGGUUAAACAUGAAUCUGAAGUCCUCAGUGCAGAUGUAACAAAUGAGGAUAGACGACCAAUCUUUGUAUUCUUAUCUUAAUAUAUGUUUGAUGUUGUCACAGGUGUACAUCUCUGUCCUCUAGCACUGAAGAGUUGAGUUCUUUCGUAUGUCGUUCCACUAUCGUGUGUGGCUUGUAAAAAGAAGACAGAGAGCAGAUUUGAGAAACUUAUUGAAUAAAUUUUUUAUUAGGGGGAAGAAGUACAAAAACAAAAUAAAUACAUUUGGAUAUCAUACAUGUAUUUGUGGGAGUAUAAGCUUGAUCAGGAGUUUCUACACGUGUAAUCUUCUUUUGAUUUAAAACAUUACUGAUGCUUGGUCCACGUCAUCGUCGCUUGUCACCUAUACAAACAGGGUAUCGUAACUGUAUGAUGUAUCCACAUACCCACAGAGGACUAAAAAUUCAGCAAACCUAUUUAAUGCUUCUCUAAAAUAUGGUUCUAUAACUUAUUUUUAAGAUUUUUUUUUUCUGAAUAAAAAUUUAAUAGUUAAAUUUCUAUUCAGAAAAAAGUAAUCUUAAAAUAAGUUAUAAAACUAUACUUUCCAGAAUCAUUAAACAAAACCUUUUCAAUAUAAAAAAUAUUCACUGAGAUAUAGAUAUAUGUACACAUGAAGGUAAAAUUCUCCGGCCAGCAUGACUCCAUUCAUGAACAAAUUUCUUGACAGCAUGCAUGUUAGUCAAAUGCUUCUUGUACUUAAUCAGGCUGGUCUUGGAGCAUAUACUUGUAGCUGUGUCGAGGUAAAUAUUUUAAGUAUACUAAAUAUAUUAACUCGAUAACAUUACUAAUAUAAGUAUUUAACAAUUACUGAGUUAAAUUUCAGAUUUCAGAGCUUCUAGUCUAGUUCUCUGGAUCAAACUCAAGUACUAUAUUAGUUCAUAGGACAUUAGGGAAUAUAUGCCGCGUACACUCACAUAUCUUCACUGAUGAUCCAUGCUUAUCAAAUACUCCUAGGGUCAUUUCUGUGCACGGAUCAAAAACCUCCCAUGUAACACCUGCAAUUUUCAUGCACCUGUAGCUUUCAUCGCACCUGCAAUGACUUAACUACUGCUCUACACACUUAACUAAAAAUCUAAAGUUGUUAAGUCAGGAAAAGUUACAUAUACUCCAGACUAAAAAGCAUAUACUUCCAUGAGGAAAAAGCAAGCAAAGGCAAACCUUUUGUACAAUUGAUAUCAGCUUGAAGGUCAAAUACAAUAUUGUGGUCAAUCAGAAUUCAGAAAUCAGCAAGCAACGGGAAACUAUUCAUCUUCUCUGGAUCUUUCUUACUCUCAAUCAGAAAUCUUAAAAGUAUAUCCUCAUAAUUUUCACACAACAUAUAUAUUAGGCAGCAAAACUCAUAAUUUGUUAUCCCAAUCAAAUCCAAAAACACUAUAUCAUAUUUUUAUCAGCUAUAUAUGAAUCCUUAACCCAAAUCGUUAGAUGAUUAAGAAAGUAUAAAAGCUAACUGCUAAUCUGUUCAAUGCAUCGGCAUGAAUUUAACCUCAUUUUGAUUUAGCAAAACAGCACAACUAAAUUUGAAUAUGUGAAAAUAGCUUAAAAUUUUGAAGAUGGGGCUGAAAAUGGCAAGCAUGUCUGAAAAUUAAUAUUUACAUGUGAAAUUACAGACCUGUUGGAAGACGACAUCCAUUAUGUGAUAAUUAAGAUCAUAUGAUGUUAGAUUUGCCAAGACGACACACCUGAUAUAUCAAGGCGAACACUUUCUUUAUUAGGAGGAACAUUAUGUUAAAAAGAACGCGUAAAAGAUAAAUAUUAACAUCACCACUAAGUUACUAACAUAAAUAUUUACAUCAUCACUAAGGUAUAAAUACAAACACUAUACACGCUAUAGCGUAAAUGUUAUGUUUCCUCUGCUUUAACAUUUUCUCCACUCCCGGACCUUUUCCUCUACGUUUUGGAGCUGAUAAUAAUAUAACUUUAGAGGAUUUCGGAAUACUACCUGAAAGUAAAACAUCCUAGUAAAAUUUACCAACUACCGGUGCUUUGUUAAUAUCAGGCGUUAAGGAACACAGACUGCAUAUAUUUACAAUUUCAGACAUUACAUUGUAGAAGUUAUUUACAUUCAAGUAUGAUGUGAUAACAAUUUGCUCGCAAACUUCAAAGAAUUACCUGGUGCCAAGCGUCUGGAAUGAUCAUUUGUAGUAUUUAAACCGUUUAUCACAUUGUUAACACCCGGUCCACGUCCUCUCCGCUUUGGAAUUGAAGAUCUACUGACAGAGGUGUUGGCUGCUGCGUGUUGGGAUAUGUUCGCGGCAAGUUCAUGUCCUGAUUAACAACAUACGGGAGAAGUUAUGAUCUACACAUAUAAUGAAAUUAUAUACUACUUUGUAAGGCUUCCACAGAAAGAUUACUUCGGAGAUGGCUCACUGGAUCAAUGCUUGGUCUUUGAUAAUCAAUGCCAACAUGAGGAAAAUGUCAAUUUGGUUGAACAUUCUCCUUGAUGUUAUUAAGGUGGAACUGGAAAUCAACAUUAACCUGCAUGUAUACUUUAUCAAAAGAAGGUCCACGACCAAAUGAACAGAGUGGAUGAAUUACACAUGCUUUGAGGCCAGCACCUACAAACACAAAAAAUGUAAAAAUGUCUCACAACAGGGUCGCUGAUAAUCCAAAGACUCUAAACCAAAAUGUAUAUGACUGCAUACUCUGUCCAAAGAAGGUCCAAGACCUCGACGGCAUAAACCUGAAUGCAUUAUAUCGGAUUAACAGUUAAAUUGCAUAACACUAAACAAACCAACCUAGCACACGCAUGGAACGUGAAAACACAUUCUCGAACAGAUUAUUCUACAACCUCUGGCAUCGCAGAAUUCCUUUCCAUCAACAUAAAUUCGAUUUUGAUUAUUUGAUCGUUAUGAGAUAUAUCAGUAUCAGGUGUGCCAAGAGGACUUCUUGAUGUAUUUAGAUUCGCAGCCUGCAUAUUCUUAACUAUAUUCUGCAAGAACUCAUUAAGUGCUGCGCCACCAUUUCGCUUCUUUGAUCCUAGCAUCAAGAAGACAUUCAACUUUAGGAAGUCAUUUAGACACAAAAAAGGUGAAAUAUAGACUGAAAUGGUCUUUGGAUAACCUUUUAACCUGCUGACUCAUCUUAUGCAACUAUACCAAGGCCUCACUUCAUUCUUGUAAUUAAGAAAGAUAACAUCUAGCAACAUCAUUAGUUUUAAUUCAAACACACACAGAUCAAGAACUAAUCAUAAUUCAUAAGUAUCAUAUCAGGCCUAAGAUAGACUUGAGUAAUCUAAACUAAAAAAAAUAUGUAUAUGAGGUAAUUCCCUGCUUUUCUGAUCAUAGAUACUGGAAAUCAUCUAUCUAUCAUGGCAUUAUAUUAAAUAAACAUAGUGGAUGAAUUACACAUGCUUUGAGGCCAGCACCUACAAACACAAAAAAUGUAAAAAUGUCUCAGGGCCGGUCAUAAUCCAAAGAAAACUAAAAGUUAACUCCUAUGAACAUAGCAUAAGUAUUUGAUUUAUCCGAUCCUAAGUUCAGGAAAUCACGGUAAUAGAAAGAUAUUAUAUCAAACACCCGGUGUGCAUGUGAUUUGUGAGUAACUAUAUACCUGUGGAUUCAUCCCCUGUCAUUGUGUGUUCGCUUGAUUCCUGAAACUGAUGUUGUUAACACCUGCUGUGGUUCCAAAUAAACAUAUUUCCCGAACCUAUUAUGACCCCUCCAGUCUAGAAAUAAAAUAUUGAUGAAAUUAUCUUGAUAAUUUAACAAUUGCAUUCGGGUGUCAUUUUCUAAGUUAAUAUAACAUCAAUCUGCAAGUGCUAUAUUUAACACCAUACACUGUCAACCUUAUCAUUUUAGACAACCAAAAAGCGCCAACAGCAAUCUGCACUGAUAUUUUUAUGUGCAAUAUAGACUAACUUAUACACUAACAACACACUACAAUAUGAUUAAGCACAAUAUGAUUAAGCACUACACCAAUAACUUGGGCCACGUCCUUCACGCUUAGCAGCUGAACGGAAUCAGCUUGUGCAUUAUUUAAACAACUGAGUAGGCUAAAAGAAUUUAGAAAAUGUUAUACCUUUUAUGAUGAAUAAUAGGCUCGUUUACAAUAGAUCUCCACAGAGUUUUCUACCCCAUUCUGGAAAAAAACUGAACAAAUAAAUAGAAGUGAAGAGAGAUUACAAUGGAAAAAACAUGGGACUUGGAAUGAAAAAGAGUAUAAAGGUGUAAGAAGAUCUUAAAAUAUCAAACAAAAUCAUAAAGAACAUAAAUCAAACACCUUAUAUGCAUGAAUCAAAACCUGUCUAAUCAAAUUUUCAUGAACCAUUUCGUAGCCUUCAACACAUCACAGAAUGGCAAGAUGGAUAAUAUGGGUGUGGAAGAACUUACCAUCAUUUAUCGAAGGAAGAGACGGCAUAUGAAGGCGGAGAACUUACGAUUCUUCCCUGGGAUAAAAUAAAACCACAUACAAAGAUCUCAGACUCAUACCAGAAAACUGGCUGCUCAUCACAUCCCAGAGACCAUCACAACCCGUUAUCAGGAUUUCAUCUUCUCUUGUCACUUGAAUCUCCUGCAAUUCUGGCUCUGCAUUUAAAGGGCAGGCACAUCCCUUGAGUCCCUUUAUAAAUAUAAAUAUAUUCUUAAAGCUUGCUAGCAUUCUCUUUUACAAAAUUAUCAUAACUGUUCCGCAGGCUUAUUUAGUGGCAAUUUUGUUAUUGUAUAUUCUGGUCUAAGCUUGUUCAUCUCUUCUUGAUAUUAUGUCUGGUUACAUAAGUAAAAUCCUAUCAACGCAAUAGAAGUCCCAUAAUAACUUUGGUCAGAUGAAUUAUACUUAUAAGUUAUAUCAAAUCAUCAUGCUUUAAAAUGCAAAUGCAAGUCAAUGCAUGGACUGCUGCACUAUAUAACUAAAGCUAUGAGUCCACAGGUCCAUGUUAAUUAGCUGUGAACGUGCAAUAUCACACAAAAGCACUGGUUGCAAGACUCGUGGAUGAGACUGUAUGGAUUAAAACAAAUAUUUUGAAGAGAAGACCUUACCACCAGAGUUAGUGCCAGUUUGAUUCUGAUUCCAUGAGAGUCUACUUUGAAUGGAAUUUGAAGAGAAUUGGUUAGUGUUAACGGUGCUUAGUGGUGUCCUUGUGCUGGAUUGCGUAUCUAAUACAGACAUGUGAGUAUAAGAGUCCAAGAACUGUGAAUACAAAAAAGGGUAAUUGACAACAGUCGUGCCUUCAAAGACAAUUUAACAUAUUAACUUAAAGUAAGCCACCUGGAUUCACUUGGUUUUAUGCAGAAGAAGAGUCAUUCUCUUUGUCCCUGGGUAGUGAUAUUAACAGCUUUGAAGCUGAGAGACGGAUUAAGAGCACACACUUGACCUGGUUGCAAUAAUGAGAUCGCAGCUAUGAAUUCUAUUACCAAUUGAUUAAAGUGAAAGCGCAAAUGACAUAAAAGAACCUACUGCAAGGCACAUGGUACAUACUAUACGGUCUGAAAGACAGAGUUUGCAGAGAAGACCUCACCAUCGGAGUUAGUGAACAUUUGCUUCUGAAUCCAUGAGCAACUACUUUGAUCGUUUCUUGAAAAAGCAUCAUUCUCGCGUACCAUCUUCUCCAUUGUGACCCAUACGUGAACCAUAAUCCCCGCUGCUGCAACUUCACCAAUCUGGUAAGUAAAAAAUCGUCAUGUGCUGAUCCUCCUCCACAACGCUUUCGUCCUGAAACGGAGACUGCUAUAUGAAUUGAUCACUGAUUUGGAGAAUGAAUUGCUAUAUCUAUUUCCUUCAACAAAAUUGUACCUGCGACUGGUGUAUUAAUAUUGUGACAGAUUUCAUCGCCAUACAUGACUACAUUCACUGCAUAUAUCGCAUAGGAAUUCAAAGAUGAUCCAUACACUUGAAUAACAGACUGAAGUAUCUUAAACAAAUUCCAAAUAUUUAUCUUGUUAAUCGCACUUUAUCUGCAAAAUAAUUCAAACUAAUUAGAUAAAUGAGCAAGUGAAAGUUCCUUAACUACCACUCAUUAAAAAACCCAAGACAGCCCAAAAUGAAAAGAAUUAUAUACGGAGUGUGUAGCACCUAUUGAAUUAAACUAUAACAUACUCCCAUAUACCUUACGAAAACUACAAAACUCAAGUUAGCCUAAAUCAAUAAAAAUAAAUAUAUCAUAUCUAUCUACCAAACAAAAAUAUAUCAUAAAUCUAUCUACCAAACAAAAAUUUGUAUAUCUUCGACUCAACUUCGAUUACCAAUACGAUGAUAUGAAAGUAUGAAAAGUGAAAGAAUGAAAACCAUGACUUUUCUGGAACCGGUUUACAAUUAUGAUCAUAAUGUAAUACGAUCAAAAGCACUGAAACUAACCCGGAAUUCGAAGAUGUGUCUGGAGUUCUUGCAGAAUCUACGAACAUCAAUUUGAAUGUUUAUAGAGCCGGAUGACCAUGAUUAAGACGAUUGAUCUCAGAUUUCUGUAACAUAAUUGUGAAAUUUAGGAACCUAAUUUUUCAUGCAGAACCUGCAUCAAACACAUUAUAAUCGACCCAUUAGACAAAAGCUUAGAUUUGUAACCUAAAAAUGCAAUAAAAAAGAGUACUAAUUGAUGAACUCAUAAUAAAACCAUGUCAGAAUCUACACAGAAGGCACAUAUAGGACCAUACACUUGGAUAAGAUAUAUCAUCUUUUUUGGCAGUCUAGCCUAAACACAAAUCAGAAAGCAUGUGUGUAGUUACAGUUUAACCUACUUGUCGACUGCGGAGCAUUGGAUUGCGGGGAUGGUGUCUUGUCCAUUGAUUACUACGAAGAAACGCAUAUUGCAAUCCUUGAUCCGUGUAGCACGAAUUGUGCGGCACGACGGUGACUGAUUUUUGAUAAAUUGCUGAUGAAUCGGAAUUUGAAUUUGAAAUUAAGAAGAGGUGGAACAAACUGCUGCGUGAAAGUAGCCUCCCAGAGUAUGCUGAUUAAUUAUCGAAAAGAAAAUACUGAAAAAGGUGAACGGGUUAACGGGUUAAUGGGUAACGGGGCAGGCUAAUUAGUGGGUAUUUUGUGGAGUUUUUUUGGAGUCUUCACUAGCAACUAUUAAGAUUAUAUAGAAUAUAGAUAAAGUAGGGGUAUUCCACCAUUUUCAAGAUAUUAAUUAGAGGUAUUUAAUGAAAAAGUUCAUGCAAUCAAUUAUUCCUUAGAAUGUGUUUAUUUUUUCAAAAUGGACAGAUAAAAAGGGACGGAGGGAGAAGUGUUUUUGUAUAAUUAAUGCAUAACAAUGAGAACAACAUAUCAUAUUUAAUUUUUCUUAAUAUGUGUGAUUUGAGCAAAGUGGACAAUUAAAAUGGGAAGGAGGGAGUAUAAAAUUGUUUUGAAUAAGCAAGCUGAUUGAUUUGAUAUAUCGGACAAUUAAUUCUAUCUUUGAGUUGUCCAGCCAUGUUUUAAAAUUAUAUAAUUUUGAUUGAUUAUAAUAAAAUUAUAAGAUAUAGUGAUAGGAUAUUGAAUUUUUAAAAAAGAUUUAAAUCAUUUUUUAUAUAUAGUCCGAAAUUUAUAUCUCCUCAAAAACUUAAAAAAGAAAACCUCUCAACCUCUUUUUUUUAAGCCGCCAUCAGGGGCUUUCAUCGGUUUUCGCGGGAGCUAGAAUAUUUUUUUUUUGCUUUGUUCUAGUUUUUAAUAAUACUACUCCCCAAUGUAAAGAUUUCUAUCUUUGGAGAUUGUAUUUUUUGUUGUUAAAAUUUUUUUUGGGUGUGUUUUGGUGUGAUUCAACGUACACGAGUUAAAUCUACCGGAUUUUUAAGAUUUUGAUUUAAUGAUAAAGAUUUAUAUAAAAUUACAAUUACGAUCGAUAGCUCAAACAGGUUUUGGUGAACGCUGUACAUAUACAUGUAUCAAUUUCAUCAAAUCAAACGAUUGUGUAUUCGUACAGACUAGAUUAAUCAGUGAUAUGAUCGAUUUUACGUUUGCUCGACUCGAUUGUUCUUGCAGAUGCCGUAUAGCUUUUCUUUAUUAAAUAGAUCCCUUUUUUCCAAAAAAAAAUCAUAUUUUUUUAGAAUUUUUUCAGAAAUAUGAAGUCAGCAAAAAGAUUUUUCAAAACCAGUAUGUCUCUGAUAUCACUGAGAGUCUGAGACAUUCUUCUUGAGAAUGUUAGAGAUCAUUGGAGUCAGUCUCCUAAGAGGAACAUUAGGCCAGAGGUUUGUUUAUGGCUACCACUGUAAUGGAAAAUGCGACUCUCAUCUCCUAGCCAUCUUUCUUGUUCAAACAAACAGUGCCUCACUUAUUGUAUCGCCUACUAUUCAUUCCCAAAAGUUGUCUGGUUAGCUAACCCAGACCAUACUGUUAAAAUCACAAAUAUUUAACACGAGGUUUCGCAUAUAAGAUUUAUUUUCCAUUAUUUAUACUGAAUAGUCGCUCAAGGCUACAGACAAUGAAGUAUAAAGACAGUUUCACAGCAAAGUACAAGCUACUCAAUUCCAGGCUUAUAUUCCUACAUGUAAUCAAACAUCAAUUACCCGCACAUGUCAGGUUCUCAUAGUGCUUUUAGAAUCAAGUUUGCCCCAUGUUGAGGUUGUAUAGUUAAUACGGUGGAAGGAGCGUGUAUAUAGGAUGGGGAAAGCACAAAAGAAAAGCGUUGUAAGAUCAUUGAUAGUGCCAUUUUAGCUUCCAGCAUUGCAAAAUUUUGUCCAAUGCAAAUCCGCGGACCUAAGCCAAAUGGAAAAUAUACUCCUUUUCCCUUUGUUGCUUUUGACACGCCUUCAAAAAAUCUCUCUGGAUUGAAUUCCUUAGCAUCAUCACCCCAGAUUUCUCUGUCAUGAUGCAUUAGGAUGAUAGGUAGCUGCACUGUAACUCCAGCCGGUAGAAAUAUCUCUCCUAAUUUGACAUCUUGAUAUACAGCGCGAAUUAGGAAAACUGCGGGUGGGUAUAAUCUUAGGCUCUCAAGCAAAAUCAUAUUAACCUGCAGACCAAAGACAUUUAAAGCACUAGUUCAACAUGUGCCUUUGUCAAGAAACAAAUAUUCUAAACUUCCAUUAACAUGCAACUUAAACUAUAGUAAUAAAAAAAUAAUUAUCGACCCUUUGCUGCUAUCACAUUAUACAUCACAAUAUUUGAUAAAAAAUUCACACUUACAAGUUGAUAACUUACUUAAAAACGUUACCAAGUGCUUAUAAUAAAACUUACAAGUUUGAGGCGAUUCAACCCAUCAAGAUCUGGUUUAUCAUUUCCAAAGACCUGAAAAACUUCUUCUCUGGCGCGCUCUUGCCAAUCUGAAUGUUGACUCAAUAGAACCAUAGCCCACGUAAGUAGAUUCGAAGUUGUCUCUUGUCCAGCAAAAUAGAAUAACUUACACUCUUCGAUAACCUCAUCCACAGACAUUCCAUAUUUCAUAUCUUUGUUUUCUUUAAUUUCUUCAGAAUUUGAUUUCAAUAAUAAACCCAACAAAUCGUCAUGAAUAUACUCUUCUACUUUCAUUGCCAGCAACCGCUUGUUAAUCAUAGACCUCAGGGCAGAUCUCACCUCACUCUCAAUCUGCCUCAUCCUUUUCAUUCUUUUGGUUGGCAAAAAUCUACAUUUAAAAGAUUCUAAUAAACAUCAAUCCUAGUAGAUGAAACACCAGAAGAUUUUAGACAACUUGCAAAAACAGAGAGGUGGAAUAAAAACCUCAUUCCUGGGAGGUACAAUGUUUGUGUAGCUUGCAUCAACAGCUCUCCUUGUUCUUUCUGUAGUUGAAAUAUUUGUCUCCCUUCUGCAUAGCUACUUCCAAAGGCUGUACGUGAAAUGACAUCAGCUGUUAGAGUUCCCAAAUCCGGCCAUACAUCCAACUCGCAUUGCCCCUCAGCAGAAACCAUCUUCUCCCAUUUGCUCAUUAUUUCACUACAACUUAAAUACAUGGCUGGCAGCAUAUCCUGUUUAUAUACAUCAUAAAAAAGGAAGACAAUAGUUGUUAAUACAAUAGAACAAUAACUGACAAUAUAUCUUCCUGCUUGGCACUUGCUAUCAUUCAGAUAGUACUGAUGAAAAUGACACUAUUAGGUUCUAUAUCACGGAGCAACGGAUCGAAAUUUUUUUACUUGAAUUAAAGAAAGUCACCUGGAGCAACAACCUACAUAUAUCAUCAAUAUUUUUCUACUUAAAAUAAAAAAUCUACUAAAUGUUUAAAAACAGCAAUAUGUGCUAAAUACUUUUAUCUAUCAUCAAUCUACAACUUCGAACAAUGUCCCAUGUUCCAUAUAUUAUUUAGCAUAAUAUGUUCAGUUUUAUAUUUGAAUUUUGUAGAUCGCCAAGAUAGCAACAGGGAUGACCUUUAACUUCUCAAGAUGGAAAGCAGGAUUCAUAAUUUUCCGGUGUUUGGCCCAUGUCUCACCCUCAGCACUUACAAGUCCACUUGCGAGCAACUUAAAUAAAGGAUUACCUCCCCUGAGUUUCUGGAAGUUAGAGGUCUUAUUUAAGGCCUCUUUUAUAAGAUUAGGGUCCGUGAUGUAGACUGCUGGUCGUGGCCCUAGCCACACAAAUGACUUCUUGCCUGCAAGAAAGUAUAACAUAAUUAAAGCCAUUAGAAAUUUUCAGUAAAAGGAGGAAGGAAUUGAGGACUAGUUUUCUUUUGCCAAGUUAACUGACUAGCGUUUGUAGUAAACAACUUUGAAAGGGUAGAGUUCAUAUUUUUUGAACAAUUAAGAUGAAAAAAUCACACACGCUUUGCUGGGAGUCUGGGACUACAGACUAGUCUCGCCGAAUGUGAGACAGCUGAGUAAAAAAACAGUACAUUGUCAAACUACAUACAAUAAGUACAGUCCAACUUCCAAUUGAAGCAAGGGUUCCUACUGAAAACUUAAGCAUAGAAACCUUCUAGAUUAACAAUAAGAAAUCUUUUGCUCACUGAUGAAAUAUUCUUGAUGAAUGACGAGCGCAUAUAAGAAAGAAUAUGUGUUUAACAACUUUAAAGAGUAAGAAUAAAAAUCCCUGGAGAAAAUCACCUUCGCGUAAUGCUCUCAAGACCUAGUAGUACAGUAGAUGGGCUUAUAUUCUAACACUCGCCAUAGGUCACUUAACUAGCAAAUUUGCCAUUUACUAAUCACAUGAUGCCUUGCUUUGAAUCAAGUUGGAAAGAUCCCUCAGAUGCGAUCGUGUCAACUAAAAGAUUUCAUUUUCGUAUAUAAGUUUGUCCAUUUAAGCUUGACAAUGACAAGGAUAAAUUACCCUUCCUCUUAAACCUAAAGGUGUUAUGAAAGGGCUUACCAAUAUUAUAUUAUAUAUUCAACAGAUAUGGACACUUGAAGAAUAAAGCUUCCAUGGAUAGUUGGCAGAACCAAAAUUCUUUCAUAAAUGAAAGUUCGGAGUUUCUUUGACAAGAGAUAAAAAUAAGCCGGUCAUGUGUUAACUUAGGUGUGUAAUGUUUCUAUAAUAUUCUGCGCUAAUGAGUGAUUGAGUUGUGCUAUUAGAAAACCGAUGUAUCACAAUGUGUUGUUUCACAUGUAGAUGCUUAAGAACUGAUUAUUAUGCGCAAAUAUGUUUACUUCUGUGGAAUACAGAUGACUUCUCCUUCACUAUGAACAACCAAGGCAGAUGAAUUGAUAUAAUUUGUCACUACUCACUAGGCUAAUCGUCAACUCACAAUUUUAAUGCUACAAUUUGUAAAAAUAUAAUAUACAAUCCAGUUAAAUCCUCCUCCCGACGUCAUAAGAUUUUAGAGAAACUAAUGCUACACCUCCACGUCUGCAAGAGGAGGCAGAAUCUUUUUAGCAUAACAAGUAUGUAUAAACCAUGGGAAAAGUUGGAGACCAUUAUUUUAUUGGAGACAUGCAAAGACCAUCAUAUUUUGUAUAAUAAUAUUUUUGCAAUGUUCAUGUACAAAAGUGGUCUUCAUUCCAAAAAACAGUUUAUGAGCUAAAAACUGCGGUUCAAAAAUGUUGUUUUUAGAUUUACAAAAUAGUUUUUCACAUAAUAAUUUUUUAAUCUAUUUAUUUAACAAAAUUAUUCCUCUGCUAUUGAAAUUAUUUAAAAAUACCCUUUCCGGAAAGUCUAAUUAAAGAAAAUAAAUACUAUACACUUAAUCGAAAGCUAAGAAUUCAAAAUUCAAAAUAGAUGAAAAACUGCUUGAUAUAUAUAAAAACAAUUUUUCAAAACAACAUGUUUUGAUUUUAUGAAAAGCAAGUCCAUGUGGUUUUCCAGCUUUUGCCGGAUUACACUAUCAAAACUCAAUAAAAACAUUUUUAUUAUAUUUUAAGUCAAAGAAAAAAUUAUAAGCUUACAACAUUUUUUUAACAAGGUGUUUUUCUAACACAAGACAAGGUGUUUUUAAUUGGACUUAGAAACAGAACCCGGAUAAAUGAAUGACGAAACGAAAACGCAUACCGUGUUUACUAAUAGCAGUAAAUACAGUUGGAGUAGCGCGAGGUAUAAUAUCGUCAGACAAACUGAUGGGCUUGGACCUGGCCUCUUUCCUAGCGGCAGCGAGUUCUUUAACGUCGCCAUACAAAAGCCUGUAAGGGUUUCCUUUAAAGCCCUGAUUUCUCAGAAUCUUUUCCAGCUUCUUGGGCCUGAUCCAAAUCCAGUUGAGUAGUCUCCAUGCUAACACCACAACGUAUGCCAAAACCAAGCUUCCUAUUACCUUGAAGUAUAUAUCUAACUCCAUCACUGUGUGUAUAGGUAUGUGUAAAAGAAAGAAGGUGAGAGGAUACCAGCGUGAUGUUUGAUGAUUUAGAGUGAGGAGUGAGGACUAAUGGACGAUGAUAUUUAUAUCUGUUUUUGGGGCUGAGAAUGACACUGAUAUUAUAUUUGUUUAGAAAAUUCAACAGAAUUAAUCAAAAAUUGAAUAUCAUCGUAUAUUAAAUAAUCUUAAUUGAAAAUCAUCAAAAUUUUGAGUAUAAAUUAAAAUCCUGAAAAUAUAAUCAAAUUUUAUAGUAUAAUUUAAAUUUUAAUUAAAUAUUUUAAGAUUCUGAUACCGUUUCUAAAAUCCGAAUCGGAUAUAACCAUAUUUGUUGAAGAAAAGUUUGUUUGAUAUUCCGAUUGAAUAUGCCGCUAAAAGCAAACCUGAUCGUGGUAAACUCUUAGAUAAAAAAUAGUUAACAUAUCAAAAAUAAAAAAUAAAAAUAACCUAAUGAAAAUAAGGUACUCCAACCAUAUUUUUUUGUCAAUAAUUUUAGUCAAACUCGUGAGGAUGAUUAUAAUUAUCGAAUCACUACAAAUUUAUAACAAAUGUCACAUUGCCAAUCAUCGUAACAAUAUAUUAUAUUAUAAUAACUUCAAAGAAGAAUAUGUUAUAUUUAAAAUAUAAUGAAUGAAUACAUGAAACAAAAUUUUACAAAUUCAACAAAAUUUACAUGAUAUAUUGAGAUCCAGUUCAACCAAUCAUUAUAACUAACUCAAAAUCAGAGAUGCCGAAAUAAAAUACUAUCUCUGUUCCAACCAUUUUUUAUGAUUUCUUUUUUGUUUCCAUCCAAUUAUUUAAAUUUCAAAAUUACCAAAUAUCAUCAACUGGUCUCACUACUUCUCCACAUUUUUCCUCUUUUCACACGACUUCUACUUCACUAUCUUUCUUUUAUACUGUAAAAUUUAAUUAGUCUUAUCAUUUCAUGCGUUUUUUUUUCUUUUUCUGCUGCUUUAUAUAUAUUUUUUAAACUUCAUGUCAAAAUCAUACAUAAAUAACGGGACGAUAAGUCGAUAACAAACGACAAGCGAGUGAAGUGUUUCCAUGGGUGGGACCGAAUUAAAUAUGUGGGUGUAUACGAUUUGGAAUUUUGUGCUUUGAGGUUAAUGUUGUACUUAAAACGGUUUUUCUGGUGUGCCCAAGGGCACACAGUAAGCACUAAAUUUUAUGAGUUUGGUGCAUUCUUAUUGGUCAUGUAGUCAUAAAUAUGGAUGGCCCCCCUGCAUUUACAAUUUUACACCAAACUCCACCAAUCAAAAUCCAAUAAACCCAUCAAAUUUAGUGCUUAAUGUGGCACUAGAAAGACCCUACUUAAAAUUCUUUUGAAUAAGCAAGCUGUCUGAUUUGAUAUAUUAUGAAAAUUCUACCUUUUGAGUUGUCAGAGUCAUGUUUUGAAAUUAUAUAAUUUCAUUGAUCAUUAUUAAAAUUAUAAAAUUAAUGUUGGGAUAAUGAUUUUUUUCUAGAAUAGUUAAAUUCACAAUUUUUUAUGGAUGUUCUUUUCAAAAUUUUCAUAUUUUGAAAUUCAUAAGGUAUAAUAGAAUUCAUAAGGUAUAAUAGAACUAGGAUGUGUACACUAGUCAGAAUUGGUCCAGUUGAGAGCAUUUUCAUAACCCAAAGGCUCGUUUGGUUUUGAGAUGUGGUUAUAGGUUUGGAUUUUGUCCAUUUCAAAUAGUCAGCAGGAAGGCGGAUAUGAGAUAUAAGUAUGCAAAUAAAUUUAUCUUAGAUACUUUUUCUUUUUUUAAGUAAUUAAAUGUUAAUGUUGGAUAUUAUAAUAAUUGAUGAUACAAAAAUAUAUGAUAAUAAUAUUUUAAUUAAAUAUAAAUUUAUAAUUAAUUUUUAAAAAAUCAAAUAUAUUAUUUUCAGGACUUAACUAAACACAUGAUAUAAAAUAUGAUACUAUUCUUCAUUCCAACCUCAUACCUAUACUAUUGUACGAAUCAAACGAUUAUAUCUGUCACUGUCCAACCCUCUAGUUGAAGUUAGUUUGGGUUAGUUUAGAUGGAUAAUUCAUAAAUAUUUAGAAUUAGAAAAAGUUAUAUAAAAUGCAAUCAAUUAAUUUUACAUGUGUUCUAGAACUUGAUAUUGUCAUUUAUUUAUCAUACUCCCUCUGUCCUAUUUUAGUUGUCACAUUUGGUUUUAUACCGAUCAAAUUGACUAAAAUUUGACUGAAAUUUAUUAAUAUUUUAUUAACUGAUAAAAUUAAAAAAAAAAUAUCAUCGGAAAUAACUUUUAAUCUACUUUAAGAUGUAAUUUUCAGUUUUUUAAAAUAAUGAAAGAGUGAUUCAUAAUUUUUAGUCAAAAUUUAAUCAAUUUGACCAAUAAAAAUAGAAAUUUGACAAUUAAAAUGGGACGGAGGGAGUAUGAUAUAUAUUAAACAUGAAUUUGCAUUUUUAGUCAAGUUUCAGGUGGUUUGUUAUGAUCAUCGAUCAUGACAGUAUUUUCCCUGAACUUGCAGCUUGACGCAUUUGUAAGUAUUUUUGUAACUAUUUUGUUAUAUCACAUACUCCUGUGAAACAAUUAUUUAUUAUAUUUUAUCGUGGCAAAUAAAAAUAUUAUUAUAUUUCAGAUGAAAUAAAUAUUUAUGUGCAUCAUAUUUAUGGAGUUAAUAAUAUAAAUAUAUAAUUUUGAUUUUAAUAUGUUUUUAAAUUCUAGUCUGAAAUUUUUAAUAAUAUAUUAAAUAUAAAAUAUAUAAUAUUUUUAAAUAUAACAAUUCUCACCUAUAUAUUUUAUACAAAAUUUAAUUAAAACAAUCAGAUAUACACAAAAUAUCUGCCAAUAAAUAAAAUUUUAUUUACUUCUUUUUACUUGAUAAAAUUAAAAUAUAAAUACAAACUUAGAUUUGCUAAUGUAUCUAUAUGCUUUUAACAAAAUUUAUGUACCCUGCAUAGGAGAUGAGAGAAAGCAAAAUCAACUCAAGGGACGUUUGAAUUAAGACUGGGAAUGAGAAUCGGGGCUCAUUAAUCAUGAACUAAACAUCACGAAGCAAGUUAACAUAAUAGAUAUACAAAAAUCAAAAUGAGUGACAUAUGCUCUGACGAUCUUUGUCAUUUUCGUUCAUCGAAUUGUAUAGUCAACUUUGGACCAAACCACUACAUAACCACAACAUUACACCAAAAGAAAAAUGAUGGUGCCGGGCCGGUGCCGUUCUUUGAUUUUUAUCUAAUAAUACACGGGCUGAAGUAAUCUUAAGAAAAUAUUUGUUACUUAUAAUAAUAGAUUAAUUAUAAAUGAAAAAUAAUUUUAUUUCAUAUGUUUUAAUAAUUUUUUUGAUGUUUACACCUUAUUAGGUAUAAAAAUUAUUAAUACAAUAACAAAUUAUUAUAGAUUAUCUUUUUUAAAGUGAUAUUCUGCAUAUUUGUAAAAUCAAAUUUUAAAACCAAAAAUAAUACACAAAAAAAUUAGAAUUUUCAACUUCAUUUAUAAAUUGAAAAUUAAUUUAUAAAUAAGUUGGCAAGUGCCGGCUAAACGCUAAAUAAAUUUCUGUGCCCAUGACACCACAGAAAAACUGACAAAAUAAGCUGCUUCUGGUCGGGCUUAACACCCUCGUGAUACCUUCUAUUUCAUUCCAACAAGUUGUCCAUAGACCGGGUCAGUGAAUGAACAAUGAUCCAGUAAAUGGAGGCAGAGACCAGACCGUAGAUAAGGAUCUGGAAAGAUAUACUCAUGAUGUCCUAGCCGGGACUGGUCUGAACCUUCAAUUCUUGUUGGGUGAGUGAACCAUCUUCCUUCGCCAUUAUCCCUUUAUUCAAACAAACAGUGCCUCACUUAUUGUAUCACUUACUAUUUCAUUCCAACAAGUUGUCUGGUUAGCUAAUCCAGACCAUACUGUUAAAAUCACAAAUAUUUAACACGAGGUUUGUCAUAUAUAUAUCUACAUUGCUACAAGAUUUAUUUUCCAUUAUUUAUACUGAAUAGUCGCUCAAGGCUACAGAUAAUGAAGUAUAAAGACAGUUUCACAGCAAAGUACAAGCUACUCAAUUCCAGGCUUAUAUUUCUUCAUGUAAUCAAACAUCAAUUACCCGCACAUGUCAGGUUCUCAUAGUACUUUUAGAAUCAAGUUUGCCCCAUGUUGAGGUGGUAUAGUUAGGACGGUGGAAGGAGCGUGUCUAUAGGAUGGGGAAAGCACAAAAGAAAAGCGUUGUAGAUCAUUGAUAGUGCCAUUUUAGCUUCCAGCAUUGCAAAAUUU